rnacentral:piRNA from 1 species
CUUGAUUUAAAUGGUGGGACGGU